rnacentral:rRNA from 1 species
UACAGAGGUCUCAAGCGUUGUUCGGAUUCAUUGGGCGUAAAGGGUGCGUAGGUGGCAUGAUAAGUCGGAUGUGAAAUCCCGGGGCUCAACCCCGGAACUGCAUUCGAUACUGCUGCGCUAGAGUACUGGAGAGGAGAUUGGAAUUUACGGUGUAGCAGUGAAAUGCGUAGAUAUCGUAAGGAAGACCAGUGGCGAAGGCGGAUCUCUGGACAGUUACUGACACUGAGGCACGAAGGCCAGGGGAGCAAACGGG